rnacentral:rRNA from 1 species
UACGUAGGUCCCGAGCGUUGUCCGGAUUUAUUGGGCGUAAAGCGAGCGCAGGUGGUUUAUUAAGUCUGGUGUAAAAGGCAGUGGCUCAACCAUUGUACGCAUUGGAAACUGGUAGACUUGAGUGCAGGAGAGGAGAGUGGAAUUCCACGUGUAGCGGUGAAAUGCGUAGAUAUAUGGAGGAACACCGGUGGCGAAAGCGGCUCUCUGGCCUGUAACUGACACUGAGGCUCGAAAGCGUGGGGAGUAAACAGG